rnacentral:rRNA from 1 species
CACGUAGGGCGCAAGCGUUGUCCGGAAUUAUUGGGCGUAAAGAGCUCGUAGGCGGUCUGUUGCGUCCGCUGUGAAAACUCGGGGCUUAACCCCGAGCCUGCAGUGGAUACGGGCAGACUAGAGGUAGGUAGGGGAGAAUGGAAUUCCCGGUGUAGCGGUGAAAUGCGCAGAUAUCGGGAGGAACACCAGAGGCGAAUGCGGCGACCUGGACCAGCACUGACACUGAGGCACGAAAGCGUGGGGAGCAAACAGG